GUGCUCGCUUCGGCAGCACAUAUACAAAAAUUAGAAUGAUACAGAGAAGAUUAGUAUGGCCCCUGUGCAAGGGUGACACGCAAAUUUGUGAAGUGUUCCAUAUAAAA
rnacentral:snRNA from 1 species